rnacentral:ncRNA from 1 species
UUAUAUUAAAAUGUAUAAAUUUCAUAUUUUUAAAAUAAAAAUUUAAUUUUUGUUUAAAAAUUAAUUAAAAAGUGUUAAUAAUAAAUAAAAUUUUAUAUUUAAAUAAUUAAAAAAAAUUAAUAUUUAAAUUUAAUAAAUUAAUGAAAGUUAAAUUUAGAAAUUUUUAAUAAUUAUUGGUAAAUUUAGUGCCAGCAUCAGCGGUUAAACUAAAAUUAAGAAUUAAUUUGUUCAAUAAGAAUAAAAUAAAAUUAUUAAAUAUUUAAAAAUAUUUAUUUUAAGUAAAGUUAUAUAAAAAAUAAUUUUUUUAUGGUGAAAUAUGAAAAAGUUUAAAUUUAUAUAAAUUAAAAAAAUUUAAUUUAAAAAUUUAUAAAAUAAACUAGGAUUAGAUACCCUAUUAUAAUAAAUAAAUAAAAAUUAUUAAAAUAUUAAAUGAUAAAUCAUUAAAUUUAAUAGAUUUGGCGGUAUUUUAUUCAAUUUAGGGGAACUUGUUUAGUAAUUGAUAUUCCACGAUAAGAAAUACUUAAUUUUAUAUUUAUGUAUUGCUGUUUUAAAAUUUAUUUUUAAGAUAAAUUAUAAUUUAUUAUAGUAAAAUAAUUCAAGUCAAAAUAUAGUAUAAUUAAGAUUUAAUGAGUUACAAUAAAUUAAAUUUAUAUGAAUUUUUAAAUUUAAAUUUAAAAUGAAGGUGGAUUUAAAAGUAAAUUUAAUAAAUAAAUUAAAUUGAAAAAUGUUUUAAAAUAUGUACAAAUUGCCCGUCACUUCCAAUUAAAUGGAAUAAGUCGUAACAAAGUUUAGAUACCGGAAGGUGUUUAUUGAGAAUA